AUUGAACGCUGGCGGCAUGCCUUACACAUGCAAGUCGAACGGCAGCACGGGUGCUUGCACCUGGUGGCGAGUGGCGAACGGGUGAGUAAUACAUCGGAACAUGUCCUGUAGUGGGGGAUAGCCCGGCGAAAGCCGGAUUAAUACCGCAUACGAUCUACGUAUGAAAGCGGGGGACCUUCGGGCCUCGCGCUAUAGGGUUGGCCGAUGGCUGAUUAGCUAGUUGGUGGGGUAAAGGCCUACCAAGGCGACGAUCAGUAGCUGGUCUGAGAGGACGACCAGCCACACUGGGACUGAGACACGGCCCAGACUCCUACGGGAGGCAGCAGUGGGGAAUGUUGGACAAUGGGCGAAAGCCUGAUCCAGCAAUGCCGCGUGUGUGAAGAAGGCCUUCGGGUUGUAAAGAACUUUUGUCCGGAAAGAAAUCCUUGGCCCUAAUACGGUCGGGGGAUGACGGUACCGGAAGAAUAAGCACCGGCUAACUACGUG
rnacentral:rRNA from 1 species